rnacentral:rRNA from 1 species
AGAGUUUGAUCCUGGCUCAGGACGAACGCUGGCGGCGUGCUUAACACAUGCAAGUCGAACGAGAAUCUGCUGAAGGAGGAUUCGUCCAACGGAAGCAGAGGAAAGUGGCGGACGGGUGAGUAACGCGUGAGGAACCUGCCUUGAAGAGGGGGACAACAGUUGGAAACGACUGCUAAUACCGCAUGACGCAUAGAGGUCGCAUGAUCUUUAUGCCAAAGAUUUAUCGCUUCAAGAUGGCCUCGCGUCUGAUUAGCUGGUUGGCGGGGUAACGGCCCACCAAGGCGACGAUCAGUAGCCGGACUGAGAGGUUGAACGGCCACAUUGGGACUGAGAUACGGCCCAGACUCCUACGGGAGGCAGCAGUGGGGAAUAUUGGGCAAUGGGCGCAAGCCUGACCCAGCAACGCCGCGUGAAGGAAGAAGGCUUUCGGGUUGUAAACUUCUUUUAAGAGGGAAGAGCAGAAGACGGUACCUCUAGAAUAAGCCACGGCUAACUACGUGCCAGCAGCCGCGGUAAUACGUAGGUGGCAAGCGUUGUCCGGAUUUACUGGGUGUAAAGGGCGUGCAGCCGGGUCUGCAAGUCAGAUGUGAAAUCCAUGGGCUCAACCCAUGAACUGCAUUUGAAACUGUGGAUCUUGAGUGUCGGAGGGGCAAUCGGAAUUCCUAGUGUAGCGGUGAAAUGCGUAGAUAUUAGGAGGAACACCAGUGGCGAAGGCGGAUUGCUGGACGAUAACUGACGGUGAGGCGCGAAAGUGUGGGGAGCAAACAGGAUUAGAUACCCUGGUAGUCCACACUGUAAACGAUGAAUACUAGGUGUGCGGGGACUGACCCCCUGCGUGCCGCAGUAAACACAAUAAGUAUUCCACCUGGGGAGUACGAUCGCAAGGUUGAAACUCAAAGGAAUUGACGGGGGCCCGCACAAGCGGUGGAUUAUGUGGUUUAAUUCGAAGCAACGCGAAGAACCUUACCAGGGUUUGACAUCCUGCUAACGAAGUAGAGAUACAUUAGGUGCCCUUCGGGGAAAGCAGAGACAGGUGGUGCAUGGUUGUCGUCAGCUCGUGUCGUGAGAUGUUGGGUUAAGU